CCUGCGGCUCCAGAUCGCUUCGUAAAGUGUCUUGGAUGAUCAAAAAGUGGAUCUCCCACUUGAAGAUUCUUGUAAGUUAUGGAGGCCGUUUGUGGAAGGCUAAAUUUUUAGUGCUGAAGAUAUGUGUUGGUUUAUGUGUUGGUCGCGACCAUUGUAUACUUUUUGAUAAUGUUAAUUAGCUGCAUGUUUUGAUAAUAUGAUUACGAAAUUAAUUUCAAAUUACAUGACAUUUAAUUAACAACACACCAUGACUUCUCUAUAUAAGAAACAUCACGGAUUAUAUCUUUGAGAAAAUGAAGGCUUUUCUGCUAUAUGUAUUUCUUUUAGUGAUUGUCCAAUCAUCAGCAUGGAAUCACGACCAUCACAGAGGCAUACACAUAACACCGAAUUCAGUCGAAAUUUACGAGCAACCUGAUGAUUUUUUGAUUUACAAAACCAUGAAGAAAACCAAUUUGAGAUCUGAUGAUGACAUGCGCGUGAUUGCGGAUCGCGUGAUGCAAUUAGCCGAAGGGUAGCAAAAAUAAAAUAUGAUUUUAUUUUUA